CGGGUAAGAAUAUGGGCGAUUGAAGUGAAGCCAAAGGAGAACCAUAGAAAAAGUAUAAUAUAGCUGAUUAUUUGAGAGAAAUUCAGAGGGCAUGUGAAGUAGAUGAGAAAAAUGGCGAUAAAUAAGGGAAACAUAGAUAGCGAGCUAAGUGCAUAAAGCUGAGGUCUCCAGAUUAGGAAUAAAAUAAUAAAGAUGAAAUCCGAGAAGAAGAAUAAAUAAAGGAAUUUCUAC